rnacentral:ncRNA from 1 species
UUUACGGAGAGUUUGAUCCUGGCUCAGGACGAACGCUGGCGGCGUGCUUAACACAUGCAAGUCGAACGAUGAAGCCCAGCUUGCUGGGUGGAAGAGUGGCGAACGGGUGAGUAACACGUGAGUAACCUGCCCUGAACUCUGGGAUAAGCACUGGAAACGGUGUCUAAUACUGGAUACGACCUAUCACCGCAUGGUGUGUAGGUGGAAAGAUUUAUCGGUUCUGGAUGGACUCGCGGCCUAUCAGCUAGAUGGUGAGGUAAUGGCUCACCAUGGCGACGACGGGUAGCCGGCCUGAGAGGGUGACCGGCCACACUGGGACUGAGACACGGCCCAGACUCCUACGGGAGGCAGCAGUGGGGAAUAUUGCACAAUGGGCGCAAGCCUGAUGCAGCAACGCCGCGUGAGGGAUGACGGCCUUCGGGUUGUAAACCUCUUUUAGUAGGGAAGAAGCGAAAGUGACGGUACCUGCAGAAAAAGCACCGGCUAACUACGUGCCAGCAGCCGCGGUAAUACGUAGGGUGCAAGCGUUGUCCGGAAUUAUUGGGCGUAAAGAGCUCGUAGGCGGCUUGUCGCGUCUG